rnacentral:rRNA from 1 species
CGGAGGAAAAGAAACUAACUAGGAUUCCCUUAGUAACGGCGAGUGAACCGGGAUGAGCUCAAAUUUGAAAUCUGGCGUCUUUCAGGCGUCCGAGUUGUAAUCUAUAGAGGCGUUUUCCGCGCCGGACCGCGUCCAAGUCUCUUGGAAUAGAGUAUCAAAGAGGGUGACAAUCCCGUACUUGACGCGACAACCGGUGCUCUGUGAUACGUUCUCAAUGAGUCGAGUUGUUUGGGAAUGCAGCUCUAAAUGGGUGGUAAAUUCCAUCUAAGGCUAAAUAUUGGCGAGAGACCGAUAGCGAACAAGUACCGUGAGGGAAAGAUGAAAAGCACUUUGGAAAGAGAGUUAAACAGCACGUGAAAUUGUUAAAAGGGAAACGAUUGAAGUCAGUCGUGUGGGAAGUAUUCAGCCGUCUCUGGCGGUGUAUUUGCUUCUCACGGGUCAACAUCAGUUUGAUCCGGUAGAAAAAGGCGGGAAGAAGGUGGCACCCUCGGGUGUGUUAUAGCUUCCUGUCAUAUGUGCCGGACCAGACUGAGGAACGCAGCUUGCAGCAAUGCCGGGGUUCGCCCACGUACAAGCU